rnacentral:rRNA from 1 species
AACGCUGGCGGCGUGCCUAAUACAUGCAAGUCGAGCGGACAGAUGGGAGCUUGCUCCCUGAUGUUAGCGGCGGACGGGUGAGUAACACGUGGGUAACCUGCCUGUAAGACUGGGAUAACUCCGGGAAACCGGGGCUAAUACCGGAUGCUUGUUUGAACCGCAUGGUUCAAACAUAAAAGGUGGCUUCGGCUACCACUUACAGAUGGACCCGCGGCGCAUUAGCUAGUUGGUGAGGUAAUGGCUCACCAAGGCAACGAUGCGUAGCCGACCUGAGAGGGUGAUCGGCCACACUGGGACUGAGACACGGCCCAGACUCCUACGGGAGGCAGCAGUAGGGAAUCUUCCGCAAUGGACGAAAGUCUGACGGAGCAACGCCGCGUGAGUGAUGAAGGUUUUCGGAUCGUAAAGCUCUGUUGUUAGGGAAGAACAAGUACCGUUCGAAUAGGGCGGUACCUUGACGGUACCUAACCAGAAAGCCACGGCUAACUACGUGCCAGCAGCCGCGGUAAUACGUAGGUGGCAAGCGUUGUCCGGAAUUAUUGGGCGUAAAGGGCUCGCAGGCGGUUCCUUAAGUCUGAUGUGAAAGCCCCCGGCUCAACCGGGGAGGGUCAUUGGAAACUGGGGAACUUGAGUGCAGAAGAGGAGAGUGGAAUUCCACGUGUAGCGGUGAAAUGCGUAGAGAUGUGGAGGAACACCAGUGGCGAAGGCGACUCUCUGGUCUGUAACUGACGCUGAGGAGCGAAAGCGUGGGGAGCGAACAGGAUUAGAUACCCUGGUAGUCCACGCCGUAAACGAUGAGUGCUAAGUGUUAGGGGGUUUCCGCCCCUUAGUGCUGCAGCUAACGCAUUAAGCACUCCGCCUGGGGAGUACGGUCGCAAGACUGAAACUCAAAGGAAUUGACGGGGGCCCGCACAAGCGGUGGAGCAUGUGGUUUAAUUCGAAGCAACGCGAAGAACCUUACCAGGUCUUGACAUCCUCUGACAAUCCUAGAGAUAGGACGUCCCCUUCGGGGGCAGAGUGACAGGUGGUGCAUGGUUGUCGUCAGCUCGUGUCGUGAGAUGUUGGGUUAAGUCCCGCAACGAGCGCAACCCUUGAUCUUAGUUGCCAGCAUUCAGUUGGGCACUCUAAGGUGACUGCCGGUGACAAACCGGAGGAAGGUGGGGAUGACGUCAAAUCAUCAUGCCCCUUAUGACCUGGGCUACACACGUGCUACAAUGGACAGAACAAAGGGCAGCGAAACCGCGAGGUUAAGCCAAUCCCACAAAUCUGUUCUCAGUUCGGAUCGCAGUCUGCAACUCGACUGCGUGAAGCUGGAAUCGCUAGUAAUCGCGGAUCAGCAUGCCGGGGGAAAAUCCUUUCCCGGGGCCUUGUACACACCGCCCGUCACACCACGAGAGUUUGUAACACCCGAAGUCGGUGAGGUAACCUUUUAGGAGCCAGCCGCCGAAGGUGGGACAGAUGAUU